AAAAAAUGACUUUUCUUUUGUUGUGGAGUAAAAACGGCUUGUAGCUCAACUUGUGUCCUCUACUCUGUCAUCACAGAUAGUCACACUACAAGCCCAAUUGGUUCACCUAAUUUGCCCUCUGAACCCCAGAGGAGCAACAUAGGCAUUGUUGGCCGAGAUGUCCAGAAUGUGGUAAAACAGGCACAUCAGCCAUCUUUGUGGCCGCCGGCGUUAUGAAUAGGAGCCACAUCCCUGCAAAAAGACUUUUUGCAUUUAUAACCUUUUUGAAGAGGGAUACACAACAAACAUUUUCAAUGUCUGUGAUAUACUAAACAAAGAUGAUAAACCCAUCGCUUGCCUCAGCGAGCUGAAGCCAGGACAAGAAGUACUUGCAAGAUGGUUUGACAGCAAGUUCUACAAUGCCACAGUUAACUUAAUUGGAACAGCUGACAAGCCUGUGGAUACCAAGAAGGACAUGAAAAAAAAAAAGAGAUACAGCUGCUCAGAUUCUACAACCUUCCAUCCCCUCUUCAAACAGGCCAGUCCACCUCUGCACAGGAUUACCCAAAUACUAUGGAUACAAUGCCAUCCAGCCUCCCCCUGCUGAGUCAUCUCUACCUGUCCAGCCACAGCACCAACUUCCAGUUUCCCAGUCAUAGCCACAUAUGCCUCAAUAUUACCUGCAUUCACCUAUCCAGUCAAUCCACCUGUAUGCAUCCACUCUGUCUUCAGUCCCAUAUUGUUCAAGCCUUUUGGACUAUUCAAAGCAUCAUCAACCUCACAUGGCACUGUCCACACCUUUUAGAGCUAACACAACAGCAGCCUGUGUUGGCAUUUUGGAUCAGCAAAGACUUCCACCAGCUCUUACUGUCGAAGAAAGCUUAAUCAAAAUGUUGCACAGUCCUAAUCCACAUUAACAACCUGCAGUUCUUAGGAAACUAAAGCCAGGCUAGUACAUCUGAACAAAGACUUCUUCAAGCAGAUACUUUAAUCAUUGCGCGAGAUCCAAUUUCAGAAUGUAGAGAACCAUGUUUCGAUUUGUCUGAAUCAACAAAAGACCGAUCCUGGGAGACAUGCAAGGCAGAGGUGGAAAAUUUUGUGGAGAAUUCCAAACUGCAGGAUGUGCUGUCAGGUGUACCCAAUUGCUAUCCCGUACCGUACACACAAGCACUGUAAAAAGUUUUCUAAUGAAAAUAAUGUGGGCAAUAAUCCAGUGUUUUUGAAGUGUUGUUCAUCAUAAAAUGGUAAUUAUGUUUAACAUUGGCGGGUGUGCGGCCGGAGUGCAUCAAUCUCAGCGACAACGGCUGAAUCUGCAAGGUCCCGCCCUGCAGUGGCAGCAGCACAGCCGCUGCAGGUGGGCGACAGCCGUAGCUGCGAGCAUUUGCAAAUGAGCCCUGCACAAGAUCCCGCGCCAAUGUCAGCAAGGCUCCGAUGACCCAAAUAGCCAAACGGCUAUUAAAUUUUACUCGUGUAACCGAUGUGCAAAAUGGCUGACUGAAAAUUUGGAAUUUUCAAAUGUAUACUGCCUGGGUUUUUAUGUAUAUUGUGAGUGUUUCCAAUUGUUUCGGGUCCAAAGAUUUUCUAGUGUGUUGCCUGAACUUUGGUGAAUUCAAGGAGGGGAGGAUGUAACCGAUGUGUAAAAUGGUUAAAAGUAAUUUUCACCAAAGUUCGUUUUUUUUAUAAAUUGCAUUUUUCAAAAAACAGCUUUUUAACAUUUAUGAGAAUUGUUAUAGGAAGUACUAUUAUUUAUUUUCAUUUAAUUUAUCCUACAUGACCUUUGACUUCGUGGUGAUGUCACUUCCUCCUGUGGUCACGCUCUCUUCAGUUGUUAACGAGACUGCAGAGAGGCAGGUACGAUAUGAAGUUGCUCUUUUGUUUGUUGUGCUAGGUGCAAAAGACACUAAAUAAGAAAGUUGAGCUCGCUUUUCAAUGUAGCAUAGUUUGUUCAGAGAGUAUUUGUGUUUCAUAUAACUGUGGUACAGCGAGUGUAAUGCUCUUUUUAAGACAUUAAAGCCGACGAAGCUGGAGUUAAUACUCAUGGUCCCGCCACAUUCUUUUUCCUUUGAAGGUGUGCAUGAGGGCUUCAGCCAGAGAGGUCGCUGUAUUCAUUUUUAUUUUUUUUUAUCAGAUGGCUGUGUGUCAAUAAACUCCUUCUGUCUGGCAAUAAAGCGACCUCCUCCUGUCAUCAUUUGUCAACACAACACAACGCAGAAGUUUUAUCUAGCCAGAGGUCAGUACUAGACCGGCUACACUCGUACCACAGACCGGACAUCAUCCCACACCACCGUCCGACAAUGUGACGUGGAAUUUUGACUGACAACAUGCGAGCGGGCCAUUAAGUCCCUAAAACGGAAGUGCGGGCAGUUCCAGGAGGAAUUUGUCCAAUUGAAGGAGAGCCGAACUGAAGCGGCGUCACCCGACGCAGAUGUGUCAGCAGCGUCAGCUUCGUCAGCCGGGGCAAUCUUGCCUAAAAAAACUCUUACGAGCAAGAUUUUCCCAACGAUCGGGCCUCAAACCAAAAGACGCCGAUCGUAUAUGUUACGAGCUGAAGCGUUCCAUGUCCAACUUGCACAGGACCCUGUACGCCCACCGCCAGAUGGUCCUGCUGGCUUGGGAACGAAGAAUCUCGCUGGCUUUGUUUUGUUGUCUUAUCGACUCUGCCUACUGCUUAGGUUGC